AGCAUGACUGCUGGAUCACAUGGUAAGCCUACAUUUGUAAGAAACUGCCAAACUGUCUUCCAAAGUGGCUGUCCCAUUUUGCAUUCCCACCAGCAGU
rnacentral:pre_miRNA from 1 species